rnacentral:lncRNA from 1 species
UCGUUUUUGCAGGUGGUGAUGCAUGUACUUUGAGUUCGAAUGAAAUUCCCAGAUCCUCAUGUCCUCCAUUUUCAUCCACUCCUCCUUUUCCUUUCUCUAUAUCGCCUGGCUGUGGUCAUCCUUCUUUUCAACUAAAAUGCUCUUUACCUUACUCUACUAUCUCCAUUAACGACUUUUCUUUCUCUGUUAUUGAAUUUGAACCCAACUCUUCCUCUCUCACUCUCUCUCCUCAAACCCAUCAUUCUUUUACAUCUACAGAAACUACAACUAACAGUAAUUGCUCUUCUCUUUCAAUUCCUACCCGUUCGAUCAAUCUCUCUGGUUCUCCAUUUCGAUUCUCCGAUUCUGAUUGUUCCCGUCUCUCUGUUGUUCGCUCUUGUUCCCCCCUGAAUCUUCCCAAUUGCAGCCAUUGUUCAUGGGAAUGCAAACUUAUUAAGAACCCAGUUCAGCUUCUCCAUGGUUGCGGAUCUAGUCAUCUACCUAUUUCUGAGCAAGGUUGCCAGCCGAACAUUUUAGAGUAUCUUGACCAGUUUCUAACAGUUGGGCUUCAUGUUGAAUACGAUGAAUCUCAAGAUUCUUACUUUUCUAGUUGCAGAGUGUGUAAAUCCAAGAAUGGUAUCUGUGGGUUCAAUUCUUCAGACCCGGAUAAGCGAUUCCUCUGUUUUCUGCCUAAAUCGCGAUUCUCGCCUCCAUGGAUUCACGAAGAUGAUGCAAAUCGAAUCGCGAUAUUAUGUUCAAUCUUCACGGUAUUAUGCUUAUUGCUUGCCGUUCUAGUUAUUGCAGCUAUUUACAGGUCUAAGCGUCUAAGAGCAUUAGCCUCGGAAGAAGACCCAACAAUACUAUUCCUUCACCGCCACCGCUCCGCGAGUCUACUUCCACCUGUAUUCACCUACGAGGAACUUGAAUCUUCAACAAAUCGGUUCGACCCAAAGCGAAAGAUUGGCGACGGCGGUUUCGGGUCUGUGUACUUAGGCCACCUCUACGAUGGCAGAGUUGUGGCUGUUAAAUACCUCCAUAAACAGCAACACCACCACGCGGCAGCUGCAGGCAAAGCAUUCUCUACCAAGUCAUUCUGCAAUGAAAUCCUGAUAUUAUCUUCAAUAGAUCAUCCAAAUCUGGUCAAGCUCUACGGGUACUGCAGCGACCCGAGAGGUCUACUUCUAGUAUAUGACUAUGUCCCGAAUGGCACUCUCGCUGACCAUCUGCACGGGCCAAAGGGCUUGCAUCGCAAAGGGCGUUUAACAUGGCAAGUAAGGCUCGACAUUGCAUUGCAAACGGCUCUAGCUUUAGAGUACUUGCAUUUCGCCGUCCAUCCGGCGAUCGUUCAUAGAGAUAUAACUUCUUCAAAUAUUUUUAUAGAGAAAGAUAUGAGAAUUAAAGUUGGAGACUUCGGACUUUCCAGGCUUCUGGUUUUUCCCGAAACGUCGUCAUCUUCGUCUGGUUACGUUUGGACCGGACCUCAAGGUACCCCUGGAUACUUGGAUCCGGAUUACCACCGGUCUUUCCGGUUAACCGAGAAAAGCGACGUGUAUAGUUUUGGGGUGGUUUUGUUAGAGUUGAUUUCUGGGUUGAAAGCGGUGGAUCAGAGUAGGGACAAAAGAGAGAUGGCGUUAGCGGAUUUAGUAGUAUCCAAGAUCCAAAUGGGUCAGCUCCAUCAAGUAGUGGACCCAGUAUUGAUUGUUGAAGGGGAGGCGAAGGAGAGUAUUUAUGCGGCGGCGGAGCUAGCGUUCCGCUGUGUGGCGGCGGAUAAGGAUGAUAGGCCAGAUUCGAAGGAGGUAGUGGAGGAGCUAGAGCGGAUCCGGAGUUGCACGCGUGGGUUUGGCGGGGCGAAUAAUUCGAAUGGAGGGGAAGGUGACGUGGCAAAAGGAUGAUUAAUUGAUUGAUUGAAGGAAGGGUUACGUGUAGUGUGAUGCUGUUUUUUUAAUAUCGUUUUUGCAGGUGGUGAUGCAUGUACUUUGAGUUCGAAUGAAAUUCCCAGAUCCUCAUGUCCUCCAUUUUCAUCCACUCCUCCUUUUCCUUUCUCUAUAUCGCCUGGCUGUGGUCAUCCUUCUUUUCAACUAAAAUGCUCUUUACCUUACUCUACUAUCUCCAUUAACGACUUUUCUUUCUCUGUUAUUGAAUUUGAACCCAACUCUUCCUCUCUCACUCUCUCUCCUCAAACCCAUCAUUCUUUUACAUCUACAGAAACUACAACUAACAGUAAUUGCUCUUCUCUUUCAAUUCCUACCCGUUCGAUCAAUCUCUCUGGUUCUCCAU